AUGAGGAAGACGCAUCAAGAUGAGCUUGAUCGGGUGGGUGUGUACAAGAGAACAAAAACAAAUCUCAACAACAAAUCCCUGAUGAUCGACACUAUCCUCCAAUUUGCCGAUGUCACUUUGAGGAAGGACAUCAGCAUGGGGAAAGUGAGGAACCAUUAUUCCGAUUGCCGCCGCUGCCCCAACUUUACAAGUGAUGAAGAACUCGAAGACCCUACAGAACACAGGCCGGACAUACAAAAAAAUGUUUUAACCUUUCAGGCUACAUUGGAGUAUGUUCUAAUUGAUGAUUCUGCUUCAUGCACAUCGAACUAG
rnacentral:rRNA from 1 species